GCAGUAGGUUUACGGUCAGGUGCCGUGUGGGGCAGGAAUCCGUCUCCACCUCCCCAACCCGGCGUACGGCCACGGCCAGUCACUCACCGCCAUGCAGCCUGCGGGGGCCGGUGCCGCUGACGGUUUCGGCCCGUUGGCCCCCACCCAGCGUUGUAGGAAGCCGCGGGCCGCCCUGGACCGGGUGCGGCUGUGGAGCGUCCCUGGGACCAGGCGAACCGCCCCGCCUCCGAGCACUCGAGACCGGCAUAAAAGUGAGAGCUAAUCGCACAGGCCAGAGCAGCGAUGUCUGAUGGAAAGCUAACCUGGAAGUAAUUUUGUUCUGAGAAAGUCAUCUCUACUGUCAUUCCAAAUCCUAUGGACUACUUAUGCCCCAUUUAAUUCUGAAGAUGGUAACCAGCUCCAAAGGUAAUAGGUGUAUGCAGAUUUUACUGCGUAUUCCAGUGACAUUUAAAAUUUCACAUUUUUCCCAAAUAUUUAAUUGUGUUCCAGUUGAGGGAGCCCUGAAAACAAAACAUUUAAAAUGGGGUGGGGAGAGGGAGGAAAUCCUGCUGAGACUAUUGUUCUUGCAUUCAACAAAAAUCAUCCAGAGUGAAAGAUGUACCUCUGAGGUAAAAAGAGAAACGAGGAAAGUCAAGUGGAAAAAAAAAUGAACACAAAACUUAAGUAUUACUCUGUGCCAAAAACUAAAUAGGCAGCCUCUUGUCUUAAAUAACCGCUUUAAAAUAUUGCUCUAUACUGUCUAGUACAGUAUUAUUUGAUGUAUACUAAGAGACAGCUUCUGCUAGCAAACCUUUUGCUAAUUGCUUAAAGUUUUCAAUGUAAGUAAAAUGUAUAAGAAAAAUGAAGAACAAUUGUUAAGACUUUUCAGUUAAGAUUGACCAAAAUUGUGAUUCUUAGAGCACAAGACUGGUGAAAGAAUAGUUAGCUAUACAAUUCUGUCCUCACAGCAGUGAAACAUAGUUGAAUAUCUUUGUGGAAUUGUCAUAAAUCCAGUCCAGUAUUCUUAAACUAUUGAUUUAUUCCACACUACAGCCCCAAUCCUGCAAAUUUCCAUGGCCAGACCCUGUGCUUAUGUACAAUAAAAUGCAGGAUCAGGGCUUAAAAGGGAAUCAGCACUAGAAUUCUCCUUUCUUUUUUUUUAAUGCCAACUUCAAAAAAGAAACUCACAAGCAGGCUAUUGCUUAGACAAGGUGUAGAAGAAAGGAAAUUAUUUUUAACUUAAACAGGAACAAAGUAAAAAUCUGACAUGGCACUUCUUUCCUAUCCAAACGUUAAAAGGCACUUUUAAUUGCAAAUCCUACAGUCCUCACUUAGGCAAAAAUGAGUAAAUGCUGCAAUAUGAUCACUUGUCAUUCAUCUUAUUGUUAAAGAAACAAACUAUUUCCCAGUCUAUUUAUAUAGUUCCUUGGUCUGCGUGUAUAGUUAGGACACACAAAACUGUAGAAGAAAAAUAUACAAAAAUAUAUUGGUAAGAAGUAGAAUCAUCUUCAGAUGGGAUACUCAAGCAUCCUUGGUUCUAGAGAAUUUUCAUUGUGUUCCAAGAAUUGAUUCACUAUUUGUCCCCUAUUUUAAAAUCAGCUCAUACUGAUCAUUCAAAUUGGUAUGAUGAGAGGUAAACACACAUACUCUUGGAAAAACUGCUUCAUUAAGACCUUUGUAAAUUAGAGCAUAGGACCCGAACAGAAUCUAUAAAACAUUUUCAAGGCCAGUUAAACAAUUUUCCUUAAUCUCUAGAUAGACUCUGAAUGUAAACUGAGUAGAGAGCAGGGGAGAUACUGAUGUAAUCUUGUAUUGUGUAACAUCUGGUAUCAUUUUAUAAUGUUGGGCAAGUUAUAGUGCUUUUCUAAAUUUAAAAAAAAAAAAGUGAACCUUUUGAACUACAACCUGCGUGUAAUCCAAAGGUGACCACUUACAGUAAACACAAUGGAUCAUAAUACUGUAAUUUCAAGUGGGCUUUUUUUGAUUGAUACAAUAUUUGAUAAUUACUUAAAACUUCAGCUGGUCACUUCAGUGAUGCAACUGUAGCAGACACAAGAUUUUGACUCAUUGCCUGAAACAUGUCACAAUUCUCUUAUGCUGGAAGAAUGCAGAGCUUGCAAUUAUGGAUAUGGUUCUACCAGUACUGGCUGUUGGAUUUCUUUUAGUUUGUUUCUUUAAAAUCAGCCUUGAUACCUGCUCCCAGGGAAAAUUUGUAGGCAGAGCAGAAUUCUGAAGAUGCAUUUACAGUAGCCUCACACUGUUCUGAAUAGAGGACAAGUUUGGCAACAGGGAUAACUAGAAAGAAAUACGAAAGUGGUGUAUCAGCAGCUCACUCUGAGUUCUGGUAUUAAAGGGGAAAUCCAACAGCAGAAACAAUUAGAAAGGUGCCCAGGCCUAUGAGACUGUGUGUUAAAACAUGAGUUCUUUUGGGGGAUGGGAGGAGAGGAAGGCAAGAUUAUGUAUUUAUUUAUGUGCAUCCAUUAAUCUUAAAAGAACAACUCAUGUGUAUAACCUGUACUACUUAUUUUGUCUGUCAAAGCUACAAAAAUAAGUGGAAACUAGAACUAUAGGUCAUUCACGCACUGGUAAUUCAGAGAAAUAAUACUCACUGACUGAUGUAUCCAUUUUUUUUAAUUGGCUGCUGGUGGAAAACACAGCUAAGCAGCAGUAUAUUUGAUUAAAACACAGUAACAAUG